CUGGGGGACAGUCAGGUGCAGGGGGAGGAGGCAGUGUUUGGGCAAAUAUUGGACUUGGCCACACUUGCUGUUCGUAUCAGGAACCCAAUUGGUGUUAUUGAUUGACAGAUUCGGGGACCAACUGUUUAGAAAGCUGAGCCCCCUCGGAUUGGGCUAGGUGUUUCAACAAACAGCCCUAAUGCUGGGCAAACAGGGCUGUUGGAAGAAGUGCCCAGCGUGUUAGCAGAGCAAACCAAGCACUGAGCAAACAGCUUAAAAGAAUGUGGCCACCUCCACGUAACCUCAACCGAGGUAUUGAUCCCACCGGAGGAAAGAGAGGGGCCGAGUGGGGAACAGAGAGAUACAAACCCCGGCAGAAUGUAAAUGUUAUCUUUAAGCUGCGGCUGUCACGGCCCUAAUGGGCAUCUGUUUGGAAUUUGUCUUCUUGCAAAUCUUUAAAUCCAGGUCAGGGCCAGGCACAGAAUUUAAUAACAACUUUUCAGAGAGAUCGGGGCUUGGGACUGAUUUCAUUCCCCAUAAGCCCAACUGGGACUCUUCUGUUCUUCUUAAAGGCAGCUGCCUUGCAUGGAAACUUGCUGGGUGCAAGUCCCAAGCUAGAAAGAGAUAAAUCUUCUGAACACUGGUCAUAAGGCUACAGGAGAGAAGAAGGAAAUUCAGAAAUAAAGGUGCUUUCUCUGACCCCUGAGCUGUCCAUACAAGAGAGCUGGUGGAGUGGAAAGAAUCCUGGACUCAGAAUCAAGAAAUCUGGGUCCUGCUGCAGCUGCUGGCUCUGACUGGCUGCCCCUUCUGUCUUCACCUCCCUGACCUUCAACCUCUGUAUCUAUGAACUGAGGGAUGCAGUCCCUGCUGGGCAUAUUCAGGGUCAGGCCAGACAAGCCCAUUCCAAGGUGGGAGCACACUCUGCAGACAGAAAACACUGUCCCAGUUUAAGGAAUCGGGAUAUUUGCUGAGAGACCCUGGGAGAUGCCCCUCCUGAGCCUGAGACCUUCUGACAUCACCAAGUCGCAAUGGAAUGGACCAUGGCUGUGGUUAUCUAUUUUUCUAGGCCCUCAGCCAACUACAUGGUGCCCACCCACAAUGAGGAAGGUGAUCUUCUUUACCCAGUCCACUGACUCAAAUGCUAAUCUCUUCCAGAAACACCCUCACAGAUGCACCCAGAAAUAGUUUUAUCAGCUAUCUGGGCAUCCCUGAUCCCAGUCAAGUUGCCACAAAAUAUUGACCAUCACAAUGAGGUUGGUGUAUAUUUCUAAGAAAAUGCUCAACUGUUUCCAAAAAUAGUCAUAUCAUUUUACUGUCAUGCCAGCAAAGUAUUCAGUUGCUGCACAUCCUCUGCAACACUUGGUGUUGUUGGGCACAUUAAUUUUAACUGUUCCAGUGGGUGUUAAUUUGCAUUUCUCUGAUGAGCAAUGAUGUUGCACACUUUUUCAUAUGCUUCAGGGCCAUUCAUAUAUCUUCCUUUGUGAAGUAUCUGUUAGGACUUUUGCCCAUUUUUUAAUAAGAUUGUUGGCCUUAUUAUUGAGUUAUUGUUGUUUUCUAUAGACUCUAAAUAUGGAUUAUUUGUCAGAUAUAUGUAAAUAAAUAUUCCUUCCCCACCUGUAGCUUGCCUUUUCAUUUUCUCAGGAAUGUCAUUUGAAGAGCAGAGUCUUUGAUUUUGAUGGAGUCCAACAUGUCCAUAUUUUUUUUAUUUUAUAGUUAGCACAUUUUUGUCUUGUCUAAGUAGUCUCUACCUAUCCCAAAGUUGUGAAGAUAUUUUUUCCCAUGUUCCCUUCUAGAGGCAUUAUCAUUUUAGCUUUUACAUUCCAUCUUCAUUUUUGAUCCAUCUUCAAAUGAUCCAUCUUCAUUUUUGUGUGUGGUGUGAGGUAGGGGGUCAAGGUUUAUUUUUUUCCCCUAUGGAUAUCCAAUUAUUCCAGCAUCUUUUGCUGAAAAGGCUAUCACUGGUUAUCUUGGUACUUUUACAAAUCAAUUAACUAGAUAAGUAUGAGUCUGUUUCUGGACCUUCUGUUCUGUUUGAUGGAUCGGUUUGUUGACCCAUACACCAAUGUUACAUUGUUUUGAUUCCCCUGACUUUACUUACUGAUGACUUUUGAGUCCGGGUCUCUCUCCCACCUUUUGCUCUUCUUCUCUCCUUCUCACUAGCUCAUCAUUCUCCAGGGCUGCGGGGUAGGGGAUUUGGGCUCUAGUCUUAGCUCUGCCUCUAAGUUACUGCAGUUACCACUUUUGCUUUCUUGGUCUCCUUUCCCUAUCCAUAAAAUGGAGAUAAGUUGAAACAAGAACGCUUCCCCCAUAAAAGACUUGAUUUUUAGGUUGAUUUCCAUGUUACUAGGAAGGAAAACAAGAGUAGAGGACAGCUUUCUGUAAAAUGCUUUCCUGACAUUCUAGAGCCCAAAAUCAAAGCCAAAAGCAGGAGGGAAAAGCAGUAACCUGACCCCAGCCUGGUAAAAUAACCUUUUUUUUCUCACUUAUUCUUCAUCAUGCUCACUUUUGAAGACAGACCACUGCACAUUAAGUCCAGCCCAGUCGAUACACUGUCUAGGAGGCACAGAGUGUUAGCUGUUUCUCACUGUGCCUCUAUCUGCCCUGUCAUUCUGUCUCAGCUCUGACUCUCCCCAACAUCUCCCCGCCUGCUCCACAAUGGCCUAGUGGUUAAGUUCCUGAGUCAGCCUGCCUGUGUUCACAUCUCAGCUCGGCUGUUUAACAAAACAGUGGGUUUGGGCAAGGUGCUUUUUGCCUUUGGGCUUUGGUUUCUUCAGUGCAAUAAAGGAAAUAAGAACAGUACCCACUUCGUGGGUUGUUGUGAGACAUCAUUAAGACAAUGCAUAUAAAAUGUUUAGCAUAAUAUCAGCCAUUACUGUAAAUGUUCAAAAAAUGUUAGCCACUGUGGUGGUUUUUUUGACACUGCUCCUUUGAAAAGAUAGAGCCUAAUUCCUCUACCCUCAAAUGUGGGACAGACUUGGUGCCUCACUUCUAACAAAUGGAGUGUGCAGGAAGUGAUGGUGUGUGACCCCUGACACUAGGUCAUAAGGGAUAUUGCCACAGGAGCCUGCAGAGAGACCUAUGUGGGAAGGAACUGAGGCCUCCUGCCAAUGACUGUCGCCAACUUGUGAGCUGUGUGAACAAUCCAUCUUGGAAAAGGAUGCCCCAGUCCAAGCUGAACCUUGUGAGACAGCAGCCCUGGCUGACAUCCUCACUACAACCUCAUGAGACACCCUGAGCCAGACCACACAGCUCAGCCAUGCCUGAGCUCUGAAUUCCCAACCCACAGAAACUGUAUGAGAUAAUAAAUGUUCAUUGCUGUUUUAAACCGCUACAUUUUGGGGUAAUUUUUAUGCAGACCCAUAUAAAUAAUUCAGCCACCAUUAGUAGUGGUAGUAGUGGUAACUGAAUCCUAUUAUCCUUCAACCCCCAGUUCGUGUUCUACUGCCUCCAAAAAGCCUUUGUCAAGGAAAGAGAAGGUGGUAAGGAAAUAUCCAAUUCCCCCUGUUUCUAAAGUAACCGCACCCCAUGUUUUAGCUGGGCCACCUGGGUAAGAGGUUGUAUUUUCCAGCCUCCCUUGCUUGUCUUUCUCUUUCAUAGACACCCACACGUGCACACAUAGCUUUGUUCCAUCACCCUACUGUGUCCUCUAAGAAACAUCUGCAAUGAGCCCAAGAUAUUCUGGAUGCUAACAGAAAGCUGAUUUAAGAAACAGAAGAUUUGGAUCUAAAUGGCUUGAGGGGAGUGGGGGAGAGGUGGGUGUGAGGACCCUGGGAUUAGACUAGGGUUCAAAUCUCAGGUCCUCAAUCAAGCUGUGGGGACAAGAGCUAGCCUGUCCUGACCUCAAUCCUUCACUUUAAAAGGAAGAAAAUGGGGUUGCUGUGAAGAGGUAAUGGGCUGGAAGAGGCCCUAUGAUAGAAGUAGUAUGUGCAACUUCCAGAAUGUAUCCUUAACAGGAAAAGGUAUAACUUUCUCCUUUCUACCAAUUGCAAUGCAGAGAUGCUAGGGGUGCCGCCUUGGAUUAUAACAUAAUCUUGGGAAUAGAGACCAUGAACACAGAACAAAAAACUAGAGGGAGCUGGAGUUUCUAACACCACAGAGCACCAGUCCUGCACCACAUACCUGCCAUCUUUCACGUGAGAGAGAAAUACAUUUCUGUCUAUCUUGCUUAAGCCACUGAUAUUUUGGGGUUUGUUACUCACAG
rnacentral:lncRNA from 10 species